CCCCUCUCAGGGUGGCACCUGGAGAGUUUCCAAUACUCUAUCAGUCUCGGCUACGGGAGGGAGAGUAAAGCAGAGGUCUACCCAUUCCAUUCCUAGCUGUCGUAGUAGCUAGCGAGUGGAAGGCAAUCUGGUACAAGU